UACAGAGGUCUCGAGCGUUGUUCGGAUUUACUGGGCGUAAAGGGCGCGUAGGCGGCGUGGCGUGUCGAGUGUGAAAUCUCCGGGUUCAACCCGGAAAGUGCGCUCGAAACUGCCACGCUCGAGUGCGGGAUGGGGAAUCGGAAUGCAGGGUGUAGCGGUGAAAUGCGUUGAUAUCCCGCAGAACACCGGAGGCGAAGGCGGAUUCCUGGAACGCAACUGACGCUGAGGCGCGAGAGUCGGGGGAGCAAAC
rnacentral:rRNA from 1 species